rnacentral:rRNA from 1 species
CAAUAGCGUAUAUUAACGUUGUUGCAGUUAAAAAGCUCGUAGUUGGAUUUCUGGAGGGAGCGUCGGCCCGUAUUUACGAGUGCGUGACGUCUCUGUCCAUCCUUGCGGGAAGGCACGGCAUUGAUUUGUUGUGUCGGAUCGCAUCAUUUACUGUGAAAAAAUUAGAGUGUUCAAAGCAGGCUUUCGCUUGAAUACAUUAGCAUGGAAUAAUAAGAUAGGACUUUGGUGCUAUUUUGUUGGUUGAGCCUAAAGUAAUGAUUAAUAGGGAUAGUUGGGGGCACCUGUAUUGCGUUGUCAGAGGUGAAAUUCUUGGAUUUACGCAAGAGAAACAGCUGCGAAAGCGUCUGCCAAGGAUGUUUNCAUUAA